rnacentral:lncRNA from 1 species
UUUCAAAUUUUCAUUGUAUAAUUUAACCCAAAAAAUUAAUUAAUCCAACACGAAGUGUAGUUGAAACCAUAUUGUAUUAUGAUUAUUAUUAAGUGACACACUAUGAUUUUCCUAUUUUAGUUUUGGAAAAAUAAAAAAACUAAAAUGGUUAUUACAUAUGACAUGAUCAAAUUAAAAGCAAAUUAGAAAUAUGUGACAUUUAAUUUAUUCAUAAACAAAUUCAACUAGCAUUCUACCCGCAAAUCUCAAACUUAGAAGAGGAAAUAACCGGCAAUGGCAACAGCUUUGGCGAUAGCGGAUAACCCAAUUAUGGUUGCACUGCUACUGCUAGGCGGCAGACCAGUUGCAGCACCACUGAUAGCAUUAACCGCAUUGUCAAGACGGCCUUCAACGAUAUCCUGACCACCUUCACCAGUAUAGGGUGCACCAACAUUUUUUCCAAUGGCAUCAGUAUAGCCGGGUGCGGCAGCCUCCAUGAUGUCAGCGGAAACCAUCUUGACAAUGGCAAUUAAGACCAAAACUAAAACAAAAAUUUGUCGUGCCAUUUAUUGUUCAAUAAAAUUUGAUUAACAAUAAAUGAACACGACAC